rnacentral:rRNA from 1 species
CUCGCCUGUUUAUCAAAAACAUAGCUUGUUGAUUUUUAUAAUAAGUAUUUUCUGCCCAGUGUUGUUAGAAAUGAAUGGCCGCGGUAACCUGACCGUGCGAAGGUAGCAUAAUAAUUUGCCCUUUAAUUGGGGGCUGGUAUGAAUGAAAGUUUGAGGCUUUCCCUAUCUUUUUUGAGUUUAAAAUUUGCUGUUUUUGUGAAGAAGCAAAAGUUUUUUAAAAAGACAAGAAGACCCUUUUAAGCUUGACUAUUUAUUUUAGUUGGCGCUAAUCUUAAAGAGAUAUAGUCUAAUUAUUUGUAUAGUUUGGUUGGGGCGAUCAAAGAAGAGUAGAUCUUCUUUGUAAUUUAAAACUAUGAGUUUAAAAGAGACCCAAAAUUUUUUGGUUAAGUGAAUAAGUUACUAAAGGGAUAACAGCGUAAUCUUUUCAAAGAGUUCUUAUCGAAGAAAAGGAUUGCGACCUCGAUGUUGACUUGCUUUUUCCUAAAUAAAGUGCAGGAGCUGNUAAGGGUUGGNUCUGUUCGACCAUUA